GGGGUGGCCUGGUUGGGGGGGUGGCCUAUUAUGGGAUCAGAACGAUGCCACCUUGAUAUGGAGUUAAAUCAGGGCCAUAAUGUUUGUUUAGUUAAAAAAAAAUUUGAAAUCGAAAAUAUGUAAUGGGGAAUGACCACUUCUCACGUAGUGGCUGGGAAAACGUCUCAUAAUUGAUCAGUUACGGCGUAAUUUGUACACAUUACUGCUUGAAAGAGCUUUAGUAACUGAGUUUUAGCAGUUAUGCAUGACAUGUUUUCUAAACAUUAUCAAAUAAUACAGUGCAGGAGGUGUUUGAUAAAUUAUGUUCAUUCCCAGGUUUCCUGAAGGCAACAUGAAAAAUGGACCAUCUUGAGCCUGCAGCGGUCUGCUGUCACUCAUGAUUCCCCGCCCCUCUGUGUGUAGCCACGCCCACCACGCCAAAACAGGGCCAAAAGUCUGUAACUGAAAAAUAGAGAUCUGAAAGUGAAAAAAAAAAAAUUGAAGCUGAGAGAAAAAUCCGAAUCUGAAGAAUUUUUUUUUGUACAUUAAUUUAAAAGAUCUGAAUCUGAAAAUUUUAAAUCCAACUCUUUCUUUUUCAAAGUUCACUCUAAAAAUGUGACUUUUGCUUUCAGUUUACAUAUUUUCGAUUUCAAAUUUUUUUUUAACUAAACAAACAUUAUGGCCCUGAUUUAACUCCAUACCUUGAAAGGAAACCGAAAAAAAUAUUGUAACUGAAAUAAAUGUACUGAGAAAUCUUGUGUUGAAGCCGAAAAAAAAUUAAUUGAAACUAUUUUUUUCUUUUCAGUUACAAUUUUUUUUCAGUUUCAAUCCAUUUUUUUUGUUUCAAUCCAUUUAAGUUAAGCUUAAGCUUAGGUUAAAAUGUUACAUUUUUCCUCAAUUUUUUUUUUUUUUAGCAUUUUUUACUGAGUUUGUUACAAAUAUUCAGGUUAAAAACUGUCCGAAUUAUUUUUAAUGAGUUAUGUUCACAAAGUCACAUGUGCAGUACUCUGUACAGCUUGCAUCCUUUAGGACAAAUAAUUUGAAACAUUAAUAUUUCUUGUUCAAUACCACUGCUGAUAACACCUCCGUAUGUUGUGACCAGGAUGCAGCAGCAGACUGAACCUUGACUGAAACCUGCUCCAUCAUCUCAUCUUUGCAGAUGUCCAUUUAUAAAGCAAACAACUCAAAGGAGCCGUCCUCAGAUUCAGACCUCAGCACCAUCCAGUGACAGCAGACAGAUCAUCCUAUAUCUUCAAUCUUUGUAGUUACUCCAAAAUUAACUGAAGAAAACAGUACAAAGGUUAAAGUACCACAUGUGCUGUCAGUGAAAGCUGCAGCUGUUUUAUUGAUAAAGUUAAAGACAAAAAGUCAAAAGGAUUAAUCACCCAUGUAACUGUGUCACUAUACAUCAGCAUUAACAGGACCUCAGUUUGGUGUUUCAGGAAACUGCUGAUCUCAGACCUGCACAACUUCUGUUUUAAACACUGAAUAUACUCAGCUACAUGAAGAGCAUGUGAUGUUUUCUUUGACACAAUUAAAUAAAACCUGAUUAAAGUCAAA